rnacentral:rRNA from 1 species
AGAGUUUGAUCCUGGCUCAGGACGAACGCUGGCGGCACGCUUAACACAUGCAAGUCGAACGAGAGAAGAGAAGCUUGCUUUUCUGAUCUAGUGGCGGACGGGUGAGUAACACGUGAGCAAUCUGCCUUUCAGAGGGGGAUACCGAUUGGAAACGAUCGUUAAUACCGCAUAAUAUAAUUGAACCGCAUGAUUUGAUUAUCAAAGAUUUAUCGCUGAAAGAUGAGCUCGCGUCUGAUUAGCUAGUUGGUAAGGUAACGGCUUACCAAGGCGACGAUCAGUAGCCGACCUGAGAGGGUGAUCGGCCACAUUGGAACUGAGACACGGUCCAAACUCCUACGGGAGGCAGCAGUGGGGAAUAUUGCACAAUGGGCGAAAGCCUGAUGCAGCAACGCCGCGUGAGCGAUGAAGGCCUUCGGGUCGUAAAGCUCUGUCCUCAAGGAAGAUAAUGACGGUACUUGAGGAGGAAGCCCCGGCUAACUACGUGCCAGCAGCCGCGGUAAUACGUAGGGGGCUAGCGUUAUCCGGAAUUACUGGGCGUAAAGGGUGCGUAGGUGGUUUCUUAAGUCAGAGGUGAAAGGCUACGGCUCAACCGUAGUAAGCCUUUGAAACUGGGAAACUUGAGUGCAGGAGAGGAGAGUGGAAUUCCUAGUGUAGCGGUGAAAUGCGUAGAUAUUAGGAGGAACACCAGUUGCGAAGGCGGCUCUCUGGACUGUAACUGACACUGAGGCACGAAAGCGUGGGGAGCAAACAGGAUUAGAUACCCUGGUAGUCCACGCCGUAAACG